GAUGGGACGUAACUCAUUGGCAGAGUGAUCGCCUAGCAUGUGUGAGGACCUGGGUUCAACCCCCAGCCCCAUUA
rnacentral:tRNA from 1 species